GCGCCAUCUUCAAAGGUCAGGGUGUGGAGCGUAUUAUGUUCGGCACCAUGUUCAGAAGGUCGGGGGUGCUCCGGAUUGAUAAUGGCUAACGUCAUCUAGAAGAGGGAAGAAGGUAACAGACGCCAGGAUUGGCGCCAUCUUGAGAAGGGCGAAAUUUGACAUUCUGAGCAACGGACGCCAUCUUGAAUGGGGCAGAUGGAUGGAGGACGGCAAUGGUGCCAUCAUGGGAAGGGCGGAGUGAAGGAAAGCGUCUUCGCAGUGUAAAAGCGAUCCUGCAUCUGGCUCAUCAUCAUCUGACUUCCAUUUCUUGGGGCCUGAACCAGCAUUCUGCCGUACUGCCUGCUGUUCUUGGAUUUGUCAGCCCCUGCAGCAAUGUGAGUCAGAAGAAGCCUCCAGCCUGACGUCUGACCCACAGACUUGGGACUUGCCAGCCUCUACAUCUCUGAGCUUCUCAGUGCAGAGAUCCCGGGUCCGAAGGACGUGCUCCACUCCUGAUUGUUCUUCCUUGGUAGUGGUGAGAUCCUCCUUCUGCUAUGGAUUUAAGCCUAGCAGGAUGGCAGAACUGACCAAUCCCCUUGGUGAGCCACAAUUACCUUAUUUGCACAGUCCCGCCCAAUCACUUGGGUAGGAGUUAUAAGACCAUGGCGAGAAAAGCCACAUAAAGACAAUCCAUCACACUGCAGGGACUUUGCAGAUGUGAUUAAAUGGAGCAUCUUGGAUAGAUUAUCCUGGAUUACCAGUGAGCCCAAUGUAAACACAAGAAUCCUUACAAGAACGAGGCAGGAGAAUGAAAGUUGGUGAGAGAGAAGAUGCCACUUGCUGGCUUUGAAGAGGGAGGAUGGGCCUAUGAACCAAGAAAUGCAGGCAGCCUCUAGAAGCUAAAAAGACAAGGAAAUGGAUUAUCACUGGAGCCCCAGAAGGAACACGGCACUGUUGGCGCUUGAUUUUAGCCUUGUAAGGCUCAUUUCAGACUUCCGACCUCCAGGACCUUAGGAGAAUAAAUUUGUAUUGUUUUUAAGCUGCUAAGCAUGUGGUAUUUUUUUACAGUAGCAAUAGGAAACUAAGACCAUGGUAUUAACUGAGCAAUAAUAACUUACUAUAGGUCAGGCAUGUGUUGAACUCUUUACAGGGAUUAUCUCAUUUAAUCCUUGAAGGAAUCCCAGAGGUGGGAGCUAUUGUCCCCAUUGUACAGGUGAGCAAAAGGAGCCCCAAGAUAUGAAAUGACAAAUCAAAGGUCACUUGGAGCCUAGAGUCAAAGAACAACUCAAAGACAUUGAGUUAAUUAUUUGCACACUAUUUACUGGUAAAGAGGUGAACCCAUAGAUUGAUUUCAUCUAAGAAAGGCGAGAAGGAGAUUUUUAUAAAAGACAAAAGGAGAGGGAAGAAGGAAAAACUGCAGACAGCUUGGAAACCAUGAACUUUGAGUUUUUUUCCUGGCCAGCCACUGGCGAUGAGUUCAGUCAGGGUGCUCUGACCUUGGGCAGCUAGAAGGAAAAAAAAAAAAGUAAUUUCAGAUGUUUAUGGAUGCCCCGGAAGACCUUGAGAGUUUAGCUUUCUCUGCGUAAUGCCUUUCUGGGUCCUUUGUUGUUGUCUCCAUCUUAGGUUAGUUAUGCCGGGUCUGUACCUUUAUCUUUAUCAGAAGUUCUCACUGGAGUAGCAUCAACUGAUUGUAAUUCCUUUCCAGGAGCGAUUUAAAUAACUAGGCACAAACCAGUGAGCUUCCAUUUAUUCCCCCCAGCAGCUUGCACACAGCAAGGUCUGGAGAAACACAGCUUAACCUUGGAUUGAGUGGGUGCCCUCUUGGCCCGUGAACAGUUUUUUUCCACUUAUCUUAUUUCUCCUCUCACUUUUUUCUUCCUUUGAUACUUUCCAAGUGUCUAGGCCUAUCUGGAGUUGUCUUCCUCUACGAAGAACAAGGAGUCCCUGGGUGGUCCAAGUGGUUAAUAUACUCAGCUGCUAAGCAGAAGGUUGGUGGUUCAAGUUCACCCAGAGGCACCUCAGAAGAGAGGUCUGGCGAUCUACCGUAUUUCUAUGGAAAUAACCCACGCCUUCUACAUUUGUUUGCCAACUAUGCCCUCCCCCGUGAGGUAUUUUCAUAAGCAUGCUAUGCUAAUUUUUUUACAGCAACAUGUAAAAAAAAAACUUGGCACAAUGGCACUUAUGAAAAUACCUCGCAGAAAGAGGGUGCAGUUGGCAAACAAACGUAGAAGGUGCACGUUAUCUAUGUAAAAAUACGGUACUUCUGAAAACUCAGCCGUUGAAAACCCUAUGGAGCACAGUUCAACUCUAACACACAUGGGGUUGCCAUGAAUUGAAAUUGACUCAAUGGCAACUGGUUUUUACCAAGAACAAAAAUUGAGACCACAGCCCAGUAUGUUCUUUACCAGGCCACACUCUCUUCCUAGGGUGUCAUCUUCUAAACCGAAUCUCAGGCCACGGAGUCUCACACACGGACCUUGCUUGGCUGUAGAAGAAAGGGGAGAUCAAGGACCACCCUAGUUUGGUGAAAACAGCACAGAAUUGCUUCCGAGGAGACAGGGACUCUUGUCCUAGCUUCGCACCUUUUGUUACCCCGAGCGUGUCCCACACCUCUCUGAGCCUCAGUUGGGUGCACAGGAUGUUUGUGAUAAAGAGUGUGGAAAUGGUUUGUGAGCUGAAAAGUGCUGUGCGCGCAUCGCUCGUGGUAUACAGAAGUUGUGCUCAGUGCCACAUUUCCCACAGCAGGAGGCAGACACAUAACGACACAUCUGUGCUAUGACACUGCAUAUUUUGCAGAGUUUUGAGUGCUGGUGUGUCCCCACCCCUGCUGGGUCCCAAGGGAGUGGGGCUGGGUGGGAGAUGGAUUAUCUCCUUCCUUCUCUUAUUGGGUUUUAAUUGUCUGUCAAAUCUCCUAGGUGUCUUUGAAGAUAAAGGGAGGGGAGGGGAGACCCUCCUAAACAGACUAAUUAUUUCCCUUGUGACCACAGCCACCAAGCCUUGCUCUCGUUUUUGAAAGGGAGGCCUGCAGUCAUUUUCCCAACAUGAUAGCUCAUAGCAACAUGAUUGCAGCCUGUACAAUGUGCUGAUAUUAUAAUGUUUUAAUCGGUGUUAAGUCAAGGGCUUUAAUUUCUUCCAGGCCUCCGGUUGGCAGCACGUGAAUGAAUUUUCCACACAUCCUGUUUCCUCAGACUAAACCCGUGCCUCUUCCUCAUGUGUCCAGCCCACAGUGGCUUAACCUUUGCUCCAUCUCCAGCUCCACUGUCUCUAAUAAUAAAUUACUCAGCAGUGGAUGAAUUAGCUGAGUCUAAUGUGUGGAAAAAGAUUAGGUUGGACCUGAGAAAAUUAGGUUCUAAGCGAGGGCACAGGAUGAGGUAUAAAAAUAGUGAGACUCUUGCCCUGGAUGACAAAGAAGCUAACUUUUUUUGAGUGUCAGGCAUGAAAUCCAUUAUUGGCAUUAUCUCCUUGAAUCACCACAACAGCCUCACGGCUAGGUGCUAUUAUUAUCAUCAUUUUAUAGAUGAGGAAACUGAGACACAGAGAAGGUAAGUAACUUAUCCAGGGUCACACAGCUACUCUUGGCCCCAGGAUUUGAACCCACGUAGCCCGGCUCCAGGACAGGACUCUCACACUGUCCUUCCUCAUUGUAUCUGAGACUAUAUUAGCUUUGCAUUCAUUCACUGAUCCAUUCGUCCAUUCAGCUCUGCUGGGGAGGGAGGGGAUUUUUAUUAUCUUAGGAGCUGCCCCCAGAAUAUUUCUGCAGGAAGGACCUGUUACUAGGACAUUGCAGGCAGACGGGUAAAUGCCAGGAGGCCUGACAGAGCACGGCUGGAACUAGAAAAGGACCGUUUGGUGGCCUGGAGAUCCCAGCCGAGCUUGCAUGUCUGGAGUAACAGGGCAGCGAGUGGGACUUUUCCUGCAGCCCGGGAAUUGGCACUUGAGGCCUCAGCUGAAAAACAAAAGGUGCUAAGAACUCUACCAGCUGGAGGUAACUGCCAACACGUGGACAAAGUGUUGCCACUCCCCUCAACCCAACAGCUUGGUAAGAGGCAGGAGAAGAUGCCUUACCACAUCUAGCCCACCCCAGCCCUAGCAUUUGAACGGAGACAGCUGGGGGUCAGAGUGGGAGCCAUCAAUGUCAUGGGCCAAACUCUGGAAGUGAGGGGCUCCAAAGACUGAUGACAGAGGCCAAGUCAGGGACCUGGACAAAGCUGGGGUAGGGAGGGGUGUCCCUCAGAGGGUCUUGAAUUUGAGCCCAAGAGGUAGGGAAAAGCAGUGAAACCACGGAGACCGGGGAAGCCAAAGGCACUUGUCCUCUUGGGUUUUUUUGGCUCCAACACCCCAUCUCUGAAAGGAUCAUUCUAAGGCUCUUGAGCCAGAGUCCACAGUGCUGGAUGGGAGGCAAGGACCUGAGGACAAAUGUUGUAUGAUACCACGUACAUGAAAUAUUUAGGAUAGGCAAGUAUACAGAGACCAAAGUUUAUGGGUGAUUACUACGGGCAGGGAGAGGGGGAGGAGGAAGACUCACUGCUUAGGGGACACUGAGCUUCUGUUAAGGGUGAUGGGAAAAUUUGGGAACAGGUAAGGGUAAGGGUUAAACAACAUGAUAAACAUAACUGAUGUCACAGAAUUGUACAUGUGAAGAAUGCUGAAGUGACAAAUGUUUUGUUACAUAAAUAUUUACCACAAUAACAAAGAAGGAUGGAAGGAAGGGAGAAAAAAAAUGACAAAGGAUGACCAGAGAUUCUGGCUGAAGGCUGAGAUGGGACAAAACAAAACUGUUUCAUGUAUGCACUCCCCUCCAAGUCAGGCUGCUUGGGGUGGGGGGCUGUUUGCUCCUUCAUGGCUAGUGAGGCUAGUCUGUGGUUGCUGCAACAGCCCCCCAGCAGCAGGAGGAAAGAAACAAACUCUGGCUUGAGCCGCGGUGGGGCCUGGGCAGAAGCAAUGAGGGUGAGGUGGUGACUGGGGAGGGGUCAGUGGAACCCAAGUGCACUGGGAGAAAAGGGUGAUGGGAGGGCCUGGGUAGGGAAGGGGUUCAGACCAGACUUAGGAGAGAGGUGAGAUUGGAGAAGACUCAGAUCAGGGGGGCGGGGAGGAGGGUGGGGAGAGGAGAAGGGUUGCAGUGUUAAAUGGUUAAAUCCUGAGGACAAGUGUCAGACUUGCAGGAGGUGAGGGGAAGCCUGGAACUACCUGAAGUAGAGCAUUGUCAGAGGGCAGCAAGUUCACCAGCCAGAAUGGCGCAAUAACAGCAGGGAGGGGUCCAGGAGGAGGUGAGAGCAGGAGGUAAAGGGGAGGCCACCUCUCCUGGUCCUUCAUGGGCCACUUGUGAGGACUUUGACAUUUACCUUGAGCUAGAUUGGAGCCAUGGGAGGGUGUCGAGCAGGGACAGGACCUGACCUGACUUAGGUUUCACAAGAUCCCCCUGACUGAGACGAUUUUUGCCAGAACAAUUUCCUAUUUGCACACUUCCCACUGAUACCCAGAAAAGUUACUAACAACAGGUCUCUAUAGGCCUAUGUGUAUGCACAGGCCUAGGAGACCGAACAGAAUGUCUUCUUAUGGCCCGUGGCUGGGAGCCCUUAGAUGGCUCUCGUGACAUGCCAGGUACCAUGCUGACCACUUUACAUAUUUAAACUCAUUUAAUUUUCAUGACCAUCUGACCAGCAGGUAAUAGUGCCAUCUCCAUUUUACACAUGAGGGAACUGAGGCUCAGGGAGCUCCUAAGCUCUGCACCACCCUGCCUUUCCAAGGAAACAGGACUCCUGGACCUGUCAGUCCCCGAAUUCACAUGUUUCUGCAUUCUCCUCACUGUCCCCACCCUUCAUAUAUCUAGAGGUAGGAGCAAUUUGAAUUCCUUUCUCUGAUGGUAGAUCACGCUUGAAAGAAGGAGGCCCCCCCUGAACCACAUCCCUUUCUGCAGGGCUGGGGUCUGAGCUGUUUAUUACAAACUGAUGCUCGCUUUCAUUUCCUGCCUGGGCUAGAUGGACACAGUUGGAGACAGAACUGGGAGGCGCCGGUGGGGGCAGGGCCGAUGGCUGCCUCGCUCCCAGAUCCUGCCGGGAGAGGCAGGCUGCAGAGAGCAAGGAGGCAGCCAGGCCGUGCCUGGGGAUCAGUGGCUUUGGCAGUAGGGAAACCAGUCACGGUCUUAAAGGUGGAAUGAGGCUGGCUGGUUUUCAGGGUCCUGUUUGGGUGAAAGAGGAUGGUCAGGAGAGGGAAGCAGAAGCUGUACUACCUGAGUAAAGUGGCUCUGCUCGUGAGCACCCGUGUUCUCCAUCCUCCCAUUGCGUUUCAUCCAGAGACCCUCCUCUCUCGCAGCCCAACUCUGCCUCCCUCCUCCCCCAGGGCCACCCCUCAGGAACUGGACCCUAUGCAUUCAUUCAUGCACUCUAUAGUCAACACACACCUUCUCAUGCCCCUUCUGUACAGGGUAUGGUGCUAGGUGCAUUUCAUAUGCUAUCCCAUUUAAUCCCCAUAGCAACCUGUAAGGUAGGAUUAUUAUACCCAUUUUACAGAUAGGGAAAUGGAGGCUUGGAGAGUGAAGUGACAUGGGCUGAUGGUGGGACCAGAAUUCAAACCCAAGUGUGCCACACUCCAAAGACUCUGCCCUUUCUACAAAUCAUUCAUUCAUUUGACAAAUAUUUUUGACCCCUUACACAUACACCAGGGUCCCUGGGUGGUACAAAGAGUUAACACACUUGGCUGCUCACCAAAAGGUUGGAGGUUAAAGCCCACGCAGAAACAGCUCAGAAGAAAGGCUUGGUGAUCCUUUUGCAAAUGAUCAGCCAUUGAAAACCCUAAGGAGCAGAGUUCUACUCUGACGCAUCUGGGUUUGCCAUGAGUCAGAAGUGACUCGCUGGCAACUGCUUAUGGUCACAUACGAGCCAGCUACUGUGCUAGGCGCUGGAGAUAAAGAAAUCAAAUCACCAUGGUGCCUGUCCUCAUGGACCUCAAAUUCCAGGGGAAAAACAGAUGUCCCCCGCUGCCCACCCAAAGUAAACACAUUGUUGUUGUCGUUAGGUGCCACCAAGUCAGUUCCAACUCAUAGCAACCCUACGUACAGCAGAAUGAAACCCUGCUCCUUGUUCACCUGUCACAUACAUAGGAGGCAAGUGAAAAUACCAUGGCUUGAGUCAGGUGCACCUUAGUCUUCAAGGUGACAUCUUUGCUUUUCAACACUUUAAAGAGGUCCUUUGCAGCAGAUUUGCCCCGUGCAACGCAUCUCUUGGUUUGACUGCUGCUUCCUUGGGUGUUGAUUGUGGAUCCAAGUAAAAUGAAAUCCUUGACAAUUUCAAUAUUUUCUCAAUUUGUCAUGUUAUUAAGGAGCCCUGAUGGUGCAGUGGUUAAGUGCUUGGCUACUAACCAAAAGGUUAGACAUCAACAAGCACUUCCGGGGAGAAAGAUUUGGCAGUUGGCUUCCACGAAGAUUACAGCCUUGGAAACCCCAUGAUGCAGUUCUGUAGUGCUGCUAUAAAUUGCAGUUGACUCAAGGGCAAUGGGAUUUUGGUUUUGGAUCAUGUUAUUGUUUUUUGAUCCAGUUACGAGGAUUUUUGUUUUCUUUAAGUUGACAUGCAAUCCAUACUGAAGGCAGCAGUCUUUGAUCUUCAUCAGUAAGUGCUUCAAGUCCUCUUCAAAUUCAGCAAGCAAGAUUGUAUUAUCUACAUAAAGCAGGUUGUCAAUGAGUCUUCCUCCAGUCCUGACACCAUGUUCUUCCUGUAGUCCAGCUUCUUGAAUUACUUGCUCAGCAUACAGAUUGAAUAAAUAUGGUGAAAGGAUACAGCCCCGAUGCACACCUUUCCUGAUUUUAAACCACGCAGUAUCCCCUUGUUCUGUUCCAAUGACUGCCUCUUGGUUUAUGUACAGGUUCCUCAUGAGCACAAUUAGGUGUUCUGAAAUUCCCAUUCUUCACAAUGUUAUCCGUAAUUUGUUACGAUCCACACAGUCGAAUGCCUUUGCAUAGUCAAUAAAACACAGGCAAACAUCUUUCUGAUAUUCUCUGCUUUCAGCCAGGAUCCAUCUGACAUCAGCAAUGGUAUCCCUCGUUCCACAUGCUCUUCUGAAUCUGGCUUGAAUUUCUGGCAGUUCCCUGUUAUU